CAGUCGUACCGGCGGAAAAUCAGCUCUUCGAGUGCGAACUUGUGGGCGUGAGGAGCUUAACCGCCUUCAUGUUUUGCAUAUUCGUGCACAUUUGGUGUACUUGUCCGUGUGGUGGGUUAACAUCAAUUUCGGUCGUCACAAAAUGAUUGGAGGAAUGUAGCUUUGGUCUCGUAUCGAAGUGUUAUAGACUCUGGUAGAUGUGACGAUUGGGAUUGAGGAUUGCAACGGAUACCCGUUCGGGGCC
rnacentral:rRNA from 1 species